rnacentral:rRNA from 1 species
GAUGAACGCUGGCGGCGUGCCUAAUACAUGCAAGUCGAGCGAACAGAUGAGGAGCUUGCUCCUCUGACGUUAGCGGCGGACGGGUGAGUAACACGUGGAUAACCUACCUAUAAGACUGGGAUAACUUCGGGAAACCGGAGCUAAUACCGGAUAAUAUAUUGAACCGCAUGGUUCAAUAGUGAAAGACGGUUUUGCUGUCACUUAUAGAUGGAUCCGCGCCGCAUUAGCUAGUUGGUAAGGUAACGGCUUACCAAGGCAACGAUGCGUAGCCGACCUGAGAGGGUGAUCGGCCACACUGGAACUGAGACACGGUCCAGACUCCUACGGGAGGCAGCAGUAGGGAAUCUUCCGCAAAGGGCGAAAGCCUGACGGAGCAACGCCGCGUGAGUGAUGAAGGUCUUCGGAUCGUAAAACUCUGUUAUUAGGGAAGAACAAAUGUGUAAGUAACUAUGCGCGUCUUGACGGUACCUAAUCAGAAAGCCACGGCUAACUACGUG